AAUGAACGCUGGCGGCAUGCCUAACACAUGCAAGUCGAACGAGACCUUCGGGUCUAGUGGCGCACGGGUGCGUAACGCGUGGGAAUCUGCCCUUGGGUUCGGAAUAACAGUUAGAAAUGACUGCUAAUACCGGAUGAUGUCGUAAGACCAAAGAUUUAUCGCCCAAGGAUGAGCCCGCGUAGGAUUAGCUAGUUGGUGAGGUAAAAGCUCACCAAGGCGACGAUCCUUAGCUGGUCUGAGAGGAUGAUCAGCCACACUGGGACUGAGACACGGCCCAGACUCCUACGGGAGGCAGCAGUGGGGAAUAUUGGACAAUGGGCGAAAGCCUGAUCCAGCAAUGCCGCGUGAGUGAUGAAGGCCUUAGGGUUGUAAAGCUCUUUUACCCGGGAUGAUAAUGACAGUACCGGGAGAAUAAGCUCCGGCUAACUUCGUGCCAGCAGCCGCAGUAAAAC
rnacentral:rRNA from 1 species